UACGUAGGGGGCAAGCGUUGUCCGGAAUUAUUGGGCGUAAAGGGCUCGUAGGCGGUUUGUCGCGUCGGGAGUGAAAACCUUGGGCUUAACUCAGGGCUUGCUUUCGAUACGGGCAGACUAGAGGUAUGCAGGGGAGAACGGAAUUCCUGGUGUAGCGGUGAAAUGCGCAGAUAUCAGGAGGAACACCGGUGGCGAAGGCGGUUCUCUGGUUGGAUACUGACGCUGAGACGCGAAAGCGUGGGGAGCAAACAGG
rnacentral:rRNA from 1 species